GACGAACGCUGGCGGCGUGCCUAAUACAUGCAAGUCGAACGCAGUGGGGACGGGUGAGUAACACGUGGGUAACCUACCAUCAGAGGGGAUAACACUUGGAAACAGGUGCUAAACCGAUACAGGUGGCUGGCAUCUCGGGGCAUGAGCUAGUUUGGGAGGUAACGGCUCACCAAGGCCACGAUGCAUAGCCGACCUGAGAGGGUGAUCAGCCACACUGGGACUGAGACACGGCCCAGACUCCUACGGGAGGCAGCAGUAGGGAACCUGCGGCAAUGGACGAAAGUCUGACCGAGCAACGCCGCGUGAGUGAAGAAGGUUUUCGGAUCGUAAAACGCUGUUGUUAGAGAAGCGGUAUCUAACCAGAAAGCCACGGCUAACUACGUGCCAGCAGCCGCGGUAAUAC
rnacentral:rRNA from 1 species